AAAGAUAGAGGUUGCAAUAAUAAAGAGUAAUAUUAAUGAGUUAAGCACUAUGAGUUAAUAUGAAAGGGAUUAUUGCCGAAAUGUAUAGUUAAUGCUUUAACACUAUGCAUUGGUCUUGUAUAUAACAUAUGCAAGACUGUCACAAAGUUAUUUGUGGAGUGCUGUCU
rnacentral:ncRNA from 1 species